rnacentral:rRNA from 1 species
UGCAAAUUGGAUCACCCUGAGCCAAUCAGCUAGCUUAAUUGAAAUAUAAUAUGACAAUAUUCAUAACAAAACAAGACUUAACCCCCACCAACUAAACCAUUUUUUUGCCCGAGUAUGGGAGACAGAAAGGGCCCACCUCUAAGCGAUAGAGAAAGUACCGUAACCAAAGCUGAAAGAGAAAUGAAAUAACCCAUAUAAGCGCCAAGAAACAAAGACUAAACCUUGUACCUUUUGCAUCAUGAUUUAGCCAGCACCCCCAAGCAAAGAGCCCUUUAGUUUGGUGCCCCGAAACCAGGUGAGCUACCCCGAGACAGCCUUCAUAAUUAGGGCUAACCCGUCUCUGUGGCAAAAGAGUGGGAUGAGCUCCGGGUAGAAGUGAUAGACUUACCGAACCUGGUGAUAGCUGGUUGCCUAAGAAAUGAAUAGAAGUUCAGCCUCGUCCACCCUUUAUCAGAAAGUAAACUAUUAAGACAUCUUGGAAACAUACGAGAGUUAGUUGAAGGGGGUACAGCCCCUUUAACAAAGGAUACAACCUUCACAGGAGGAUAAAGAUCAUAAUUCAUAAAACCUACUGUUCUAGUGGGCCUGAAAGCAGCCAUCUAAACAGAAAGCGUUAAAGCUCAGACAGAAAAAAGUUUAUUAUACCGAUAAAAAAUCUUAUUCCCCUAACUAUAUUAGGCCAACCCAUACCUGUAUGGGUGAGACUAUGCUAAAAUGAGUAAUAAGAAGACCUGAUCUUCUCCCGACACACGUGUAAACCAGAUCGGACCGGCCGCGGUAUAUUGACCGUGCAAAGGUAGCGCAAUCACUUGUCUUUUAAAUAGAGACCUGUAUGAAUGGCUAGACGAGGGCUUAACUGUCUCCUCCUUCCAGUCAGUGAAAUUGAUCUACCCGUGCAGAAGCGGGUAUAAAACUACAAGACGAGAAGACCCUUUGGAGCUUAAGGUGCAAAACUCAACCACGUUAAACGACUCUUUAAGAAGCAAGAACUUAGUGACCCUGAAAUUUCACCUUCGGUUGGGGCGACCACGGAGGAAAAUUAAGCCUCCGAGUGGAGUGGGCCAAAACCAAGUUACCCUAGGGAUAACAGCGCAAUCCUCUCCCAGAGCUCAUAUCGACGAGGGGGUUUACGACCUCGAUGUUGGAUCAGGACAUCCUAAUGGUGCAGCCGCUAUUAAGGGUUCGUUUGUUCAACGAUUAAAGUCCUACGUGAUCUGAGUUCAGACCGGAGCAAUCCAGGUCAGUUUCUAUCUGUAACGCUACUUUUCCUAGUACGAAAGGAUUGGAAAAGGGGGGCCC